UAUCUCUGUAGAGUCUGCAUAUCAAUAAGCGGAGGAAAAGAAACUAACUAGGAUUCCCUCAGUAACGGCGAGUGAAGCGGGAAGAGCUCAAAUUUGAAAUCUUCAAGGUUUUACCUUGACGAAUUGUAGUUUAAAGAAGUGUUUUCUGUUGAAGUUUCGGUAAAAGUUCUUUGGAAUAGGACAUCAUAGAGGGUGAGAAUCCCGUAUUUGACCGUUAUUUUCAGCUGUGUGAUACACUUUCAAAGAGUCGGAUUGUUUGGGAAUGCAGUCCAAAAUGGGUGGUAAAUUUCAUCUAAAGCUAAAUAUUGGCGAGAGACCGAUAGCGAACAAGUACCGUGAGGGAAAGAUGAAAAGAACUUUGAAAAGAGAGUUAAACAGUACGUGAAAUUGUCAAAAGGGAAGCGUUUGACACCAGUGUUGUUUUCUCGAAAAUCAAUUAAAAAUGCUGGAUUUUGUGUUGUAUUGACUUUAUCAGCUUUCUGCACUCUUUUCCUGUCUUUUUUAAUGCACUCUUCGUUUAACAAGUCAACAUCAAUUUCUUUUGUUGUAAAAGGGUCAUUGGAAGGUGGCUUUCUUUUCGGAGAAAGUGUUUAUAGCCUUUGACUUCUGCAAUCGGAGAGAUUGAGGUCUGCAGCGUAGAUCCUUCGGGGUUAGAUGCAUUUGUGCUAAGUUAUAGCCUUUCAUAGACAACUUGUUGACUAUGAUCAGUCAUGUAGCUUACUCGCUUAUGUCAUUUUACCUACGCUUAGGAUGUUGAUCUCUCACAGUCGAGC
rnacentral:rRNA from 1 species